UACGAAGGGGGCUAGCGUUGUUCGGAAUUACUGGGCGUAAAGCGCGCGCAGGCGGUCUUCCAAGUCAGUGGUGAAAGCCUGGAGCUCAACUCCAGAACUGCCAUUGAAACUGUUAGACUUGAGUACGAGAGAGGUGAGUGGAAUUCCCAGUGUAGAGGUGAAAUUCGUAGAUAUUGGGAAGAACACCAGUGGCGAAGGCGGCACACUGGCUCGUAACUGACGCUCAGGCGCGACAGCGUGGGGAUCAAACAGG
rnacentral:rRNA from 1 species